AGUGAACGCUGGCGGCGUGCUUAACACAUGCAAGUCGAACGAGAACGGAUUAUAGCUUGCUAUAAUUGUCAGCUAAGUGGCGCACGGGUGAGUAAUAUAUAGAUAACCUGCCCUCUAGAAAGGAAUAACAGUUGGAAACGACUGCUAAUGCCCUAUAUGCCUUUAAUACAUAAGUAUGCAAGGGAAACGCUUUAGUGCUAGAGGAUGGGUCUGUAUGGUAUCAGCUUGUUGGUGAGGUAAUGGCUCACCAAGGCUAUGACGCCUAACUGGUUUGAGAGGAUGAUCAGUCACACUGGAACUGAGACACGGUCCAGACUCCUACGGGAGGCAGCAGUGGGGAAUAUUGCACAAUGGACGAAAGUCUGAUGCAGCAACGCCGCGUGGAGGAUGACACAUUUCGGUGCGUAAACUCCUUUUAUAUAGGAAGAUAAUGACGGUACUAUAUGAAUAAGCACCGGCUAACUCCGUGCCAGCCGCCGCGGUAACAC
rnacentral:rRNA from 1 species